GGGGACAUGGAAGCUGUGUUCAGGCCGGUCCACGCUGGGUGACCCAUGUGACCUGCUGCUUAGCAAUUCCUUGUCACCAUCUUCCCUUCUCAGCCUCUUUUUUCAUGCUAACAGGCAUAAAUGAAAUGAUGAUAAAAGUUUGAGCUCUUCUCGUGGAAUUCUUGUGAUACAGAUAUGUGCUACACGUUCAUCAUCUCGUUGGUCUUCACCAUGAUAACUGUGGAGUAAGAAUUAUAAGCAGGUCACAGAUUAGGGACUUGAGAUUGACAGUUUGGCUUCCCUGUUCUGGGUGGCAAAGCCUGUGGAGUACUCACCUACCUGCUGCAUGAAGGCAGCAUGGAGGGACUGUGGUGGAUUAUCUGCAAAGAUGGCCAAAAUUCUCUCAUCCCUGCAGGCACAUACAAGAAAGCCUGAAUUUUGUAAAAGUUCUGCUUAGAAUGAGGAAGAAAGAUGAAGAAUGAGGAGGAAGAAGGGAGGAACAAGAGAGAGAGGUAAAGACAACAAACAGAACAGACCUACAUUUGCAGCAUCUCCAAGUUUCUGCAACAGC
rnacentral:lncRNA from 1 species